GACGAACGCUGGCGGCGUGCUUAACACAUGCAAGUCGAACGGAAAGGCCUUUUCGGAGGUACUCGAGUGGCGAACGGGUGAGUAACACGUGGGUGAUCUGCCCUGCACUCUGGGAUAAGCCUGGGAAACUGGGUCUAAUACCGGAUAGGACCGCACUUUAGCGUGUGUGGUGGAAAGUUUUUUCGGUGUAGGAUGAGCCCGCGGCCUAUCAGCUUGUUGGUGGGGUAAUGGCCUACCAAGGCGGCGACGGGUAGCCGGACUGAGAGGUUGGUCGGCCACAUUGGGACUGAGAUACGGCCCAGACUCCUACGGGGGGCAGCAGUGGGGAAUAUUGCACAAUGGGCGCAAGCCUGAUGCAGCGACGCCGCGUGGGGGAUGACGGCCUUCGGGUUGUAAACUCCUUUCGCCAGGGACGAAGCGUUUUGUGACGGUACCUGGAGAAGAAGCACCGGCUAACUACGUG
rnacentral:rRNA from 1 species